CCGAGGCUGCUGAUUUCCCCAGGAUCUGCCAUUUACCUCAAGGAGCGGCAGCCAGAAGAUGUGUCAAAGCACCUUCUUCAGCAUCUCAGGGAAGGGCCACAGUGAGCGUGUUUUGCAACUCAUUGUUAAAUUGAGAAUAAAAAAUCCCCAGCUGCCUUCCA